UCUGCUUCUACAGUCUCCAAUGCCUUCAAUAUAAAUCCAUAGCAUCAUGCUAGUUAUCAUACGCACAUAGAUUCCAAAAUAUCAUGAAGCAGUCAAAUGAGAAGGGGAAGAAGAGAUUAAGAAAUUGACUGAUAGCAUGCAAAUAUUGAGAUUCAAGUUGCAGAUCAUCGCGGAACCACUACACACAUCACAUAAGGGACAUGCACCCUUGCAUGCAUCUGAGAGGACACAUAUACAGGCAGAUGAACACACAUUCAGAAGCAUGCACUAAUUGCAUUUAGUUUAUGCACACCCUUGUGUGUGUCUGCAUUUGCAUGUGUCUACCAAGGGAGAGAUUAUGUUUCCAAAAUUCCAGUAAUUUGGUUGAAUAAUAGCACUAGAUACAUGGGGAACCACCAAAACAGUUAUCUACUAAUAAUGCAUUACUCUCUCUAACAAAACUACAAAUUUUUCUGAAGUAGUAUUGAUAAAACCACUUUUUUUAUCAACCAAUAAUGCAUUACUCUCUCAAACAAAAAUAUAAUUUUUUUUCCCAUCCUUUUUCCUUCUUUAAUUCUUAUAUUUAAUAAUUCUAAGGGGUGAGGGGCAGAGUGGUAAUGUCCAUCAAUGAACAAAAGGAUUUAAAGGAGGGACCAGUCCUUGGUAGAAGAACAAAUGUACAUCAAACAGCGCAAGGCAUUGAAGACAGCAAAAAUAAGAACAGUAAAAGAAAAUUCUCAUUGGUAUAAUCACAUCCUUUUAUAUACUUGAGGGGAAACAGUACGUUAUUGACUAUGUGAAAAGUUUUCCUAGUUUUAACAGUUAAAAUCUUGACAACCAAUGAAAAUAAUUCACUAUUCUACUUAAAACCAGUAAAAAUUAGAAAAAGUUCAUUGUCAUCACAGUUUCCUAUAACUUAUCAUUGUUAGCUCCUUGUUGUGGCAAAGAGUUACCAAAUGUAUGGUUUUCUAAUCUUUCACACAAAUACUGUUAUGUUCAAGUAUCAAAAGCUCAUAACCUCAUGGGUUUGGAUGAUGAUUAUGCUUAGUUCAGUCUAAUAAGCCUUGUCCUAAUUGCUGAAUAGACUUCCACUUCUGAUAAUCACUUCCCCCAUUAGUGCACAAGUCUCAACAAAAAUUCAAAAUUGCUCAACAGAAAUCUUUAAAACCCUAUAUUCUGACUCAAACUAAGCCUUAAUUCGAGUUUAGUCGGGAUCAGCUAAAUGAACCAUUUUACCCAUCCCAUAUAGUUUAGGGUAAAAAGUCUAGAUCUACUAAAUUUUAUUUUGCAACUUCAUCCCAAAUCAUCCUGAAAGUAAAUCAUUUUUUCUCCCCUGCAACUUCAGAAUGCUCAACCUUGCGUAUCAGAGCAUUUGGUGAUCUAUGAUGGACAUGCCCAAAUCAUCUCAGUGGCCCUUCUCUUAACUUCUUUUCAGUGGUCAUCACUUUUACCUUCCUAUGCCUGCAUUUAUACAGUCAUCUAUCAUAUUUCUACACAAUCAUUCUCAUCCCUAUCACCCUAAUUUUGUUUACAUGAUGUUUCUUCAACACCCAACACUUGUUGCCUGGUUGAAUUUGAAUUGUUGUCCUUUAGGAUUUUCCCUUCAAUUUAACCUAGGUUCUAAAAUUGCAUAAGACCCCCACUAAAUAAAAUCCCAUGUUCUAAUGCCUAAAUCAGACAUAAAUUUAGGAUAAAAUACAUUUGAAUGCCAACACAAAACCUCAUUACAGAAUUUAAUGCCAUAACUUUCAAAAUAGACAAAGUUACCCCCAAACAUUUCAAGAAGUAACAAUUAGGUUGUUUCUUAAUGAUCCGUGAAAGGUUUUGCUUUAACACACAACGCAUACUAAUUAUUAAGCCAUCAAAACAGGUAUGAAAAUAUAUAGCCACGUUUAUUUUCAAGCCAAAACAAAAGAAUCAGAGUAAUUAUUCUUAUUUUAUUUUCUGCAAUUUAUCAGAAAUUUAUUGCAUUUGUUUCCUCGUUUUGAUACAUACAAAAUACACUUGGGUUGUGUAUAGCUCUCUUACAGAGAUAACUUAACAGAUAUAUCCCACAUGAAGCAAUUUCAAAGUAUAUCUCUAAUAAAGAACUAAAUAGGGAUCAUAAGCAUCUUGGAAAUGGAACGUCAAGGACUAAGUUCAGAAUAAGAUUAUAAAGAGCUGAUUUCCAUUUUACCCUUUAAACAGCUCCUGAAAAUAUAGGAAAAAAUAAGUGUGUUGUUUGUGUUAUAAACAAAAAGAGUGAAGUUGUCGUUUUCAACUAUGCUCCUAUUAACUUGAAAUAAAGUUCCGAAGAACUCUUACUCACAACUUGA
rnacentral:misc_RNA from 1 species